GGGUAAAGAUGUUGAUCAUAUUUAAUAUAAAAAAAGCUAUACAUGCAUUUUUUACUGUUAUGCAUUAAAUGUGCAAAGUUUAUUGCUCUUAUGCCAAUGUAAGAUUGAAUUCAAAAAUGAAAAUACUGGUGUCUGAGAGCCUUAUGCUAUUGACAUCUAAAGGAUAUCAUUUGAAAGAUUUAUAAUGCUUUUUGAUUUACAAUUUCCCCCCUGAAACUGAUAAUCCAAAAUUUAAACUAUUUCAAUAUAAUUCCAUAAC
rnacentral:lncRNA from 1 species